UGAGCAAUCUGCCCUUCUCAUCGGAAUAAGCGUUGGAAACGACGUCUAAUGCCGAAUACGACCUCCUUUCGCAUGAUCGGAGGUGGAAAGCUCCGGCGGAGAAGGAUGAGCUCGCGGCCUAUCAGCUAGUUGGUGUGGGUAAUGGCCCACCAAGGCGACGACGGGUAGCCGGCCUGAGAGGGCACACGGCCACACUGGCACUGAAACACGGGCCAGACUCCUAGGAGG
rnacentral:rRNA from 1 species